rnacentral:rRNA from 1 species
UACAGAGGUCUCAAGCGUUGUUCGGAUUCAUUGGGCGUAAAGCGCGUGUAGGCGGCUGGUUAAGCGUGAUGUGAAAUCUCCGGGCUCAACCCGGAAACUGCAUUGCGAACUGGCCUGGCUGGAGUGCAGGAGAGGGUAGUGGAAUUCCCGGUGUAGCGGUGAAAUGCGUAGAGAUCCGGAGGAACACCGAAGGCGAAGGCAGUGUCCUGGCGAGUGACUGACGCUGAGGUGCGAAAGCCAGGGGAGCGAACGGG